AACGUAGGUGGCAAGCGUUAUCCGGAUUUACUGGGCGUAAAGCGUGUGCAGGCGGUCGUUCAAGUGGUGUAUGAAAUCGCCCGGCUUAACCGGGCGGGGUUAGGCCAGACUGGACGACUGGAGUGCGGGAGAGGGACGUGGAAUUCCGGGUGUAGUGGUGAAAUGCGUAGAGAUCCGGAGGAACCCCAGCGGCGAAGGCGGCGUCCUGGCCCGCAACUGACGCUCAGACACGACAGCAUGGGGAG
rnacentral:rRNA from 1 species